rnacentral:misc_RNA from 1 species
AUGAAGAACGCAGCGAAAUGCGAUACGUAAUGUGAAUUGCAAAUUCAGUGAAUCAUCGAGUCUUUGAACGCACAUUGCGCCCCCUGGUAUUCCGGGGGGCAUGCCUGUCCGAGCGUCAUUGCUGCCCUCAAGCACGGCUUGUGUGUUGGGCCCCGUCCUCCGAUUCCGGGGGACGGGCCCGAAAGGCAGCGGCGGCACCGCGUCCGGUCCUCGAGCGUAUGGGGCUUUGUCACCCGCUCUGUAGGCCCGGCCGGCGCUUGCCGAUCAACCCAAAUUUUUAUCCAGGUUGACCUCGGAUCAGGUAGGGAUACCCGCUGAACUUAAGCAUAUCAAUAAGCGGAGGA